rnacentral:rRNA from 1 species
GUAGGUGGCAAGCGUUGUCCGGAAUUAUUGGGCGUAAAGCGCGCGCAGGCGGUUCUUUAAGUCUGAUGUGAAAGCCCACGGCUCAACCGUGGAGGGUCAUUGGAAACUGGAGAACUUGGGUACAGAAGAGGAAAGCGGAAUUCCACGUGUAGCGGUGAAAUGCGUAGAGAUGUGGAGGAACACCAGUGGCGAAGGCGGCUUUCUGGUCUGUAACUGACGCUGAGGCGCGAAAGCGUGGGGAGCAAACAGGGAUUAGAUACCCUGGUAGUCCACGCCGUAAACGAUGAGUGCUAAGUGUUAGGGGGUUUCCGCCCCCUUAGUGCUGCAGCUAACGCAUUAAGCACUCCGCCUGGGGAUACGGCCGCAAGGCUG